UCUCUCUGAAUCUGCGAACGGCUCCGCAAACCAGUUGUAAACUAUAGCAAGCAGGCUCGGGGUCGGCCUUCACGGGCUGGCCUCGGGCGAUAUGGAUAACCCUGGUAAUUCUGAGGCUAAUACAUGAACGUAGAACCCGGUUGACUAGGCCUCACGGCUAGGGAUGCUGGGGGAUGUGCGAUUGCAGGCUUGGGUAACUCCGGGAAAGGGCGCACGUCCAGACCGCGCUAUAAAGGAUGGGCUUCUCACGAGGCCUGCCCCAGCGGCUCUUGCUGUGUGCUUCUGACCUAUCAACUAGACGGCAGCGUAAGGGACAUGCUAUGGUGACAACGGGUACAGAGGAUUAGGGUUCGAUCCUGGAGAGUGGGCCUGAGAGAUU
rnacentral:rRNA from 1 species